rnacentral:rRNA from 1 species
CCCGUAGCAAUACGGGAGCGGCAGACGGGAUAGUAACACGUGGGAACGUACCUUUCAGUUCGGAACAACCCAGGGAAACUUGGGCUAAUACCGAAUACGCCCGUAAGGGGAAAGAUUUAUCGCUGAAAGAUCGGCCCGCGUCUGAUUAGCUAGUUGGUGGGGUAAUGGCCCACCAAGGCGACGAUCAGUAGCUGGUCUGAGAGGAUGAUCAGCAUCACUGGGACUGAGACACGGCCCAG